rnacentral:rRNA from 1 species
GAUGAACGCUGGCGGCGUGCUUAACACAUGCAAGUCGAACGGAAAGGCCCUGCUUUUGUGGGGUGCUCGAGUGGCGAACGGGUGAGUAACACGUGAGUAACCUGCCCUUGACUUUGGGAUAACUUCAGGAAACUGGGGCUAAUACCGGAUAGGAGCUCCUGCUGCAUGGUGGGGGUUGGAAAGUUUCGGCGGUUGGGGAUGGACUCGCGGCUUAUCAGCUUGUUGGGGGGGUAGUGGCUUACCAAGGCUUUGACGGGUAGCCGGCCUGAGAGGGUGACCGGCCACAUUGGGACUGAGAUACGGCCCAGACUCCUACGGGAGGCAGCAGUGGGGAAUAUUGCACAAUGGGCGGAAGCCUGAUGCAGCAACGCCGCGUGCGGGAUGACGGCCCUCGGGUUGUAAACCGCUUUCGCCUGUGACGAAGCGUGAGUGACGGUAAUGGGUAAAGAAGCACCGGCUAACUACGUG